rnacentral:rRNA from 1 species
UGCAAGUCGAGCGGCAGCGGGAAGAUAGCUUGCUAUCUUUGCCGGCGAGCGGCGGACGGGUGAGUAAUGCCUAGGGAUCUGCCCAGUCGAGGGGGAUAACAGUUGGAAACGACUGCUAAUACCGCAUACGCCCUACGGGGGAAAGGAGGGGACCUUCGGGCCUUCCGCGAUUGGAUGAACCUAGGUGGGAUUAGCUAGUUGGUGAGGUAAUGGCUCACCAAGGCGACGAUCCCUAGCUGUUCUGAGAGGAUGAUCAGCCACACUGGGACUGAGACACGGCCCAGACUCCUACGGGAGGCAGCAGUGGGGAAUAUUGCACAAUGGGGGAAACCCUGAUGCAGCCAUGCCGCGUGUGUGAAGAAGGCCUUCGGGUUGUAAAGCACUUUCAGUAGGGAGGAAAGGUAGCAGCUUAAUACGCUGUUGCUGUGACGUUACCUACAGAAGAAGGACCGGCUAACUCCGUGCCAGCAGCCGCGGUAAUACGGAGGGUCCGAGCGUUAAUCGGAAUUACUGGGCGUAAAGCGUGCGCAGGCGGUUUGUUAAGCGAGAUGUGAAAGCCCCGGGCUCAACCUGGGAAUUGCAUUUCGAACUGGCGAACUAGAGUCUUGUAGAGGGGGGUAGAAUUCCAGGUGUAGCGGUGAAAUGCGUAGAGAUCUGGAGGAAUACCGGUGGCGAAGGCGGCCCCCUGGACAAAGACUGACGCUCAGGCACGAAAGCGUGGGG